CGGCGGCGGCGGCCGCCCUGGCCCGCGGGACUGGGCUUCUGCGGGGGCCUCCCGGCCGGGCGCCCCCGGAGGACUUAGGGCCGGAGCCCGCUCCGGGCACGGCUGGCUGCGCGCCGCCUAGCGCGGCCGGGCUAGAGGCGCGGCGACCCAGCUGCCCGGUCCCAGCCCCGGCCUUGGGGACAGGCGGGCACAGCUCCCCCAGCCCGCCGCUUCGGGCACUGCAGCACCGCCCUGGCCGCCCCGCCUCGCCCCCCGCCGGCGCCUCGGAGCCCGACCCCAGCCCGAGCGCGGCGGACCGACCCGAGCGCGGCGGCCCCUGGCGCGCACCCAGCCGCUUGCGCUCCGGGCGCCCGGGGCUGCGCACCCGGGAGUCCGGAGCCACCCGGCCGCCCCCCGCCAGGCCCCUCCCCGCCUCCCGGCCGGCUCGUCCUCUGGCCCAGCCUUUCCCUGGCGCUCACCUCCCUCCAGCCUUCCGGGAGCUGGACGGGGCCUCUCGAGCUUCGGGCAGCUUGCGACAGUGGCCGGAGACUGCGGGAAUCCGAAACCUCGUUUCUGGCUAGCCUCAAGUUCUGGGCGCGCCCUAAGCGGCAGGGUCUUGACCAAGCCCCUUAACCUCUGUGGGCCUCUGUUUUCUCACCCGAGAAAGAAGGAUUCAGACAGCUCAGUGCCCGGCACAGCGUGGGUGGCUGAAGCGUUGGUGGAAUGAAUGAAUGAAGGGGCAUGGGCUGCAGCCUGUACCUUGCUGGGGCAGAGUGCUCAGUUCCACAGCACGCUAACUCGAGCGUGAGGCUUGCUGUCACGUGGAUGGUCCUGUUUGGAUGCUGGGACCGGUGCCCUCCACUCCAUGGAGUCUCUGGGGCUCAGCACGAGGACGGGCUCGGUAAACAUUUGGUGCUGAGAGUAGGCAGAAGGUGGCAGGGAUUUGUGGGGCUGAGCAGGAGUACAGAUGAAGGCUCACGUACCAUAUGUCUAAAUAUUUGCAAGUUAUAAAUCAAGCUAACAAAAUGUGGAAUAAAAUAUGUC